rnacentral:rRNA from 1 species
GAUGAACGCUGGCGGCGUGCCUAAUACAUGCAAGUCGAGCGAAUGGAUUAAGAGCUUGCUCUUAUGAAGUUAGCGGCGGACGGGUGAGUAACACGUGGGUAACCUGCCCAUAAGACUGGGAUAACUCCGGGAAACCGGGGCUAAUACCGGAUAACAUUUUGAACCGCAUGGUUCGAAAUUGAAAGGCGGCUUCGGCUGUCACUUAUGGAUGGACCCGCGUCGCAUUAGCUAGUUGGUGAGGUAACGGCUCACCAAGGCAACGAUGCGUAGCCGCCCUGAGAGGGUGAUAGGGCACACUGGGACUGAGACACAGCCCAGACUCCUACGGGAGGCAGCAGUAGGGAAUCUUCCGCAAUGGACGAAAGUCUGACGGAGCAACGCCGCGUGAGUGAUGAAGGCUUUCGGGACGUAAAACUCUGUUGUUAGGGAAGAACAAGUGCUAGUUGAAUAAGCUGGCACCUUGACGGUACCUAACCAGAAAGCCACGGCUAACUACGUGCCAGCCGCCGCGGUAA